AUUCAACAAAAAUAAUUUAAAUCUUCCAAUCGAAACAGGCCGUGAAAAACCAUAUACAACGUUGAGACUUUCUAGAUUUCAGUAAGGUGAUGUACACUGUUGAGUUCACACGGCUUCGCUUGGGGAUUUCCGACAAGCGUUCUGUCGCUGUCGCCGAGUGUGGUUCGGUGGAAGGCGCGCACAAGAAUUGUGUGUCUCGAGUUCAGUCGUUGUUACAACUCGAGUGCGACCGAACUCGCUGCGCUAAUUAUUGAUCAAGAAAAUAAUACACGUUAUACACCAAUCA